AGCAGCCGCGGUAAUUCCAGCUCCAAUAGCGUAUAUUAAAGUUGUUGCAGUUAAAAAGCUCGUAGUUGAAUUUCGGGGUCAGUAGAUUGGUCAUGCCACUGGUAUGUACUGGUCUCACUGAUUCCUCCUUCCUGAUGAGCCGUAAUGCCAUUAAUUUGGUGUUGCGAGGAAUCUGGACUGUUACUUUGAAAAAAUUAGAGUGUUUAAAGCAGGCUAACGCUUGAAUACAUUAGCAUGGAAUAAUGAAAUAGGACGUUCGAUCUUAUUUUGUUGGUUUCUAAGAUUGACGUAAUGAUUAAUAGGGAUAGUUGGGGGCAUUAGUAUUCAAUUGUCAGAGGUGAAAUUCUUGGAUUUAUUGAAGACUAACUACUGCGAAAGCAUUUGUCCAAGGAAUGUUUUCAUUAAUCAAGAACGAAAGUUAGGGGAUCGAAGACGAUCAGAUACCGUCGUAGUCUUAACCAUAAACUAUGCGACUAGGGAUCGGAUGAUGUUAAUUUUUAAUGUACU
rnacentral:rRNA from 1 species